UUGCUACCUUCGGCGCUACCGUCUUUGACGUCUACCGUUCGGACUAACGGCGAUGGAAGUUUGACGCGGCGACGUUCAACACACGGGAAAGAUCCUAUGGACGUCUGAGUUGCCCUUCAUCCUCCUUUUCGGAACCGCGGGUGGCGGAUGGUCGGGGUGAGCGCCACCGACGGGCUUAACCCGUUGUCUUCUCCGACCGCCAGUUUCGCAACAGUUUCAUUCAUCCGUAUAAAUAAAAUAUUCUUUGAA